GAGGAAUAUUGGUCAAUGGGGGAAACCCUGAACCAGCGACGCCGCGUGUGGGAUGACGGGGUUCUGCCCUGUAAACCACUGUGGAGAGUGAAGAAAAUUCCGUUCAGCGGGACCGGACAGUAACUCUCUAGAAAGGAUCGGCUAACUACGUGCCAGCAGCCGCGGUAAUACGUAGGAUCCAAGCGUUGUCCGGAAUUACUGGGUAUAAAGGGUGCGUAGGCGGACUUGCGCGUCAGAGGUUAAAGCUCGCGGCUCAACCGCGAAACAGCCUUUGAUACGGCAAGCCUUGAGUGCGAGAGAGGAUGGCAGAAUUCCUGGUGUAGCGGUGAAAUGCGUAGAUAUCAGGAGGAAUACCAGUUGCGAAGGCGGCCAUCUGGCUCGUUACUGACGCUGAGGCACGAAAGCGUGGGGAGCAAACAGGAUUAGAUACCCUGGUAGUCCACGCCCUAAACGAUGCAUGCUUGGUGUUGGAAAUUUAUAUUUUCAGUGCCGGAGGUAAUCCGUUAAGCAUGCCACCUGGGGAUUACGAUCGCAAGGUUG
rnacentral:rRNA from 1 species